AAGAAUUCUUCACUCCUGAUUAUUUCCUUCCUCCUGCUCUUGAGGGAAGGUCAGAACCAGAGGUAAAAAUAACAUUUUUUGGACAUAAGUUAUACAACAUGUGGUUUAAUUGUGCUCCCAUUUGAUUUGAAGAGAGAUCUGUAAAAUGUGAGAUUUUUUUUCUCCAUUAUUAUUCUUUACUUUCAAAAUAGUACCUGCAAAUAAAGAUUUAGAACUCAUACGCUGAGGGCAAAGCAGAAGCUGUUUGUGCAGGAUUUUUACAGAAAUUACCUGGAGAUGCAGCAUCAGGAAUUCAGGCUCCAGGAGGAAAAAUACCAUUCUGCAGCACAACACCACAGAGCUGUGGCAGUAACAAGCUGG
rnacentral:lncRNA from 1 species